rnacentral:rRNA from 1 species
CCUACGGGAGGCAGCAGUGGGGAAUAUUGCACAAUGGGGGAAACCCUGACGUAGCGACGCCGCGUGAGUGAAGAAGUAUUUCGGUAUGUAAAGCUCUAUCAGCAGGGAAGAAAAUGACGGUACCUGAUUAAGAAGCCCCGGCUAACUACGUGCCAGCAGCCGCGGUAAUACGUAGGGGGCAAGCGUUAUCCGGAUUUACUGGGUGUAAAGGGAGCGUAGACGGCAGCACAAGUCUGGAGUGAAAUGCCGGGGCUUAACCCCGGAACUGCUUUUGAAACUGUGCAGCUGGAGUGCAGGAGAGGUAAGUGGAAUUCCUGGUGGAGCGGUGAAAUGCGUAGAUAUUAGGAGGAACACCAGUGGCGAAGGCGACUUACUGGACUGUAACUGACGUUGAGGCUCGAAAGCGUGGGGAGCAAACAGGAUUAGAUACCCGGGUAGUC